rfam:Triticum urartu cultivar G1812 contig1002730, whole genome shotgun sequence.
CACAUACUCCCUCCGUUCCAAAUUACUCGUCGCAGAAAUGAAUGUAUCUAGAACUAAAAUACAUCUAGAUACAUCCAUUUCUGCGACGAGUAAUUCGGAACGGAGGGAGUAGUUA